GAUGAACGCUGGCGGCGUGCCUAAUACAUGCAAGUCGAGCGAACAGACGAGGAGCUUGCUCCUCUGACGUUAGCGGCGGACGGGUGAGUAACACGUGGAUAACCUACCUAUAAGACUGGGAUAACUUCGGGAAACCGGAGCUAAUACCGGAUAAUAUAUUGAACCGCAUGGUUCAAUAGUGAAAUACGGCUUUGCUGUCACUUAUAGAUGGAUCCGCGCCGCAUUAGCUAGUUGGUAAGGUAACGGCUUACCAAGGCAACGAUGCGUAGCCGACCUGGGAGGGUGAUCGGCCACACUGGAACUGAGACACGGUCCAGACUCCUACGGGAGGCAGCAGUAGGGAAUCUUCCGCAAAGGGCGAAAGCCUGACGGAGCAACGCCGCGUGAGUGAUGAAGGUCUUCGGAUCGUAAAACUCUGUUAUUAGGGAAGAACAAAUGUGUAAGUAACUAUGCACGUCUUGACGGUACCUAAUCAGAAAGCCACGGCUAACUACGUG
rnacentral:rRNA from 1 species